GACGAACGCUGGCGGCGUGCUUAACACAUGCAAGUCGAACGGAAAGGCCCUGCUUUUGUGGGGUGCUCGAGUGGCGAACGGGUGAGUAACACGUGAGUAACCUGCCCUUGACUUUGGGAUAACUUCAGGAAACUGGGGCUAAUACCGGAUAGGAGCUCCUGCUGCACGGUGGGGGUUGGAAAGUUUCGGCGGUUGGGGAUGGACUCGCGGCUUAUCAGCUUGUUGGUGGGGUAGUGGCUUACCAAGGCUUUGACGGGUAGCCGGCCUGAGAGGGUGACCGGCCACAUUGGGACUGAGAUACGGCCCAGACUCCUACGGGAGGCAGCAGUGGGGAAUAUUGCACAAUGGGCGUGAGCCUGAUGCAGCAACGCCGCGUGCGGGAUGACGGCCUUCGGGUUGUAAACCGCUUUCGCCUGUGACGAAGCGUGAGUGACGGUAAUGGGUAAAGAAGCACCGACUAACUACGUG
rnacentral:rRNA from 1 species